rnacentral:rRNA from 1 species
UGGGGAAUAUUGGGCAAUGGGGCGCAAGCCUGACCCAGCAACGCCGCGUGAAGGAAGAAGGCUUUCGGGUUGUAAACUUCUUUUGUACAGGGAAGGAAGCAGAAGACGGUACCUGUCGAAUAAGCCACGGCUAACUACGUGCC